UAAUAGUGUAUAUUAAAGUUGUUGCAGUUAAAAAGCUCGUAGUUGAAUGUUGGUGUCGAACGAGCGGUCAGCUUCGGCUGUACUGCUCUCUCGACUCCUUCCUUCUGUGGACUACGUCGCACUUUACUGUGUGGCGCUAGGACGCAGAUCGUUUACUGUGAAAAAAUUAGAGUGUUCAAAGCAGGCCGUACGCUUGAAUACAUUAGCAUGGAAUAAUGGAAUAGGACGUCGGGCCUAUUUUGUUGGUUCUAGGACCGUCGUAAUGAUUAAUAGGGACAGUUGGAGCCGUUUAUAUUCCGUAGUCAGAGGUGAAAUUCUUGGAUUUACGGAAGAUAAACUACUGCGAAAGCAUUCGGCAAGGAUGUUUUCGUUAA
rnacentral:rRNA from 1 species